rnacentral:rRNA from 1 species
GUGAACGCUGGCGGUAGGCCUAACACAUGCAAGUCGAACGGCAGCACAGUAAGAGCUUGCUCUUACGGGUGGCGAGUGGCGGACGGGUGAGGAAUACAUCGGAAUCUACUUUUUCGUGGGGGAUAACGUAGGGAAACUUACGCUAAUACCGCAUACGACCUACGGGUGAAAGCAGGGGAUCUUCGGACCUUGCGCGAUUGAAUGAGCCGAUGUCGGAUUAGCUAGUUGGCGGGGUAAAGGCCCACCAAGGCGACGAUCCGUAGCUGGUCUGAGAGGAUGAUCAGCCACACUGGAACUGAGACACGGUCCAGACUCCUACGGGAGGCAGCAGUGGGGAAUAUUGGACAAUGGGCGCAAGCCUGAUCCAGCCAUACCGCGUGGGUGAAGAAAGCCUUCGGGUUGUAAAGCCCUUUUGUUGGGAAAGAAAAGCAGCAGGUUAAUACCCCGCUGUUCUGACGGUACCCAAAGAAUAAGCACCGGCUAACUUCGUG